UACGUAGGUGGCAAGCGUUAUCCGGAAUUAUUGGGCGUAAAGCGCGCGUAGGCGGUUUUUUAAGUCUGAUGUGAAAGCCCACGGCUCAACCGUGGAGGGUCAUUGGAAACUGGGAGACUUGAGUGCAGAAGAGGAGAGCGGAAUUCCAUGUGUAGCGGUGAAAUGCGUAGAUAUAUGGAGGAACACCAGUGGCGAAGGCGGCUCUCUGGUCUGUAACUGACGCUGAGGCUCGAAAGCGUGGGGAGCAAACAGGAUUAGAAACCCGGGUAGUCC
rnacentral:rRNA from 1 species